rnacentral:rRNA from 1 species
GUAGGUGGCAAGCGUUGUCCGGAAUUAUUGGGCGUAAAGCGCGCGCAGGGCGGUUCUUUAAGUCUGAUGUGAAAGCCCACGGCUCAACCGUGGAGGGUCAUUGGAAACUGGAGAACUUGAGUACAGAAGAGGAAAGCGGAAUUCCACGUGUAGCGGUGAAAUGCGUAGAGAUGUGGAGGAACACCAGUGGCGAAGGCGGCUUUCUGGUCUGUAACUGACGCUGAGGCGCGAAAGCGUGGGGAGCAAACAGGAUUAGAUACCCUGGUAGUCCACGCCGUAAACGAUGAGUGCUAAGUGUUAGGGGGUUUCCGCCCCUUAGUGCUGCAGCUAACGUAUUAAGCACUCCGCCUGGGGAGUACGGCCGCAAGGCUG